GAUGGGGAAGGGGACAGAGAGAGAGAGGAAGCCACAGGGAAGACAGACAGGGCCACAGACAGAGGACAGCCGGCCAGGGUGGCUGUGCGUGGAGCCCAGAGAGGCCCUGUCAGUGAGCGGAUGCUGGCCUAGAGGCGGUCUCCGGUCGUGCCACAGCUCUGUUCCCAGCCUUGGAGAAACAAACCAACCGGAUCCACAGACGCCGGAACCCGGGAGGGACACUAACGCCGCUGGCAUCCAGCUGAGCUCAGUGCGAGAUUCAGCAGAUGGAAUUUAAUACAGACACUUUGGAAAGUUCUGCAUCUGGCUUUGAAAACUAACUGCACAAGCAGUGGGGAGGGAGAGCGGCCUGUCCGCAGCCCCUGCAGGAGCUGAGCCCGGGGCUCAGCAGAGUCGCUGGGUGUUGAGUUGCUGGAAAAGCUCAUGUGGGAAUCAGCAAGGCUCACAGCUGCUAGAGGCAUCAGACAGAAGUGGCAGAGGCACCGAGGGAGGAAGAUUCUGAGGGGGUAAACUGGAAGCACGGACAGGCCGGGAGUGAGGCGGGAUCUGGACACCCACGACCAGACGGAGGAGCAUUUGUCACUUUAGGAACCUUUGCUGGGAGGAGAACAUGCUGAUUUGCUAAGACCUGGGUCCCAGAGGUCUGAGUGGAGACAUUUUCCUCCGAGGUGGGAGUUUUCUGCUCUAGGGAUGACAUCCCCUCAUGUCCAGCAAGAACACACUGAACCACUUGUCCAUGUAGAGACAGAUGAGCAGCGUCCUGCCUUCCAACACCACGUAUCACCUGUGCCUGUUCCGGGACUUCAUACAAAUGCACUCACACCGUCUGGCGCUCAUGCGUGUUUCGUUUCCACUUUGUUCAACAUCAUGUGUGUGUUUCAUCCAGGUCGGUGUGUUGAGUUGCAUGCUGUUGAUUCUUAUUGAUGUGUGAUGUUUGUAUAUUGUAUGACUAUGCAGCGAUUUGUUUACCCGUCUAACUCUAAAUGAGAUCUGAGUACUUUCCAGUUUGGGGCUGUUGUGAACAGUGCCGCUAUAAGGUUUUUGCAAGUGCUUUUUGGUGAACAUAUGGGUGAAUUUCUGUUGGGCAGAUACUUAGGAAUGGAAUUUCUGAGUCAUAAAUUACACACAGGUUCAGCAUCAAAAGAGACUGCUGAACAGUUUUGCAAAGUGGUUCUUUCAAUUUAUGAGGCUUUGUCUACAGACUUGUCCCUGAGCAACCUGCCCUCCCAUGACCUUACCUGGUCUGUGGGUUGCCUCAGGUCCCCUGAGCCUGCUGCUCAGUUCUCCCUCCCGGUCUUUGUCCUUCCCUGGGUCUUUGGUGCAGGACUCUCUGUUCCUGGGUCCUAAUGUUGGCUCCUGGAGACACAUUCUCAAGCCACUCUGAAUGGCAUCCUCUGGGUCUGGUGUGACCUGGCUGCCUUCCCCACACUGGGGCCUUCCUUGGUGGCAGAGCCUCCCUCACAUCCUGACCUUCCUCCUGGGGGUCCAUGGGUCAAGUGCUCUACUGAGCACGGGGAGGGGGGGUCUUUGUUAAACCCAGUGUGGGUCCUGCCCUUGUGGGGUUCAUAGACUGGUGUGGAGAUGGAUCCUGGGCCUUUCUUCCUACGCUUCAAAGGUGGGCAGUUGAGUCUAAGAGGAAGAGAUGGAC